UACGAAGGGGGCUAGCGUUGCUCGGAAUUACUGGGCGUAAAGGGCGCGUAGGUGGCCAACUAAGUCAGACGUGAAAUCCCUCGGCUUAACCGGGGAACUGCGUCUGAUACUGGAUGGCUUGAGUUUGGGAGAGGGACGCGGAAUUCCAGGUGUAGCGGUGAAAUGCGUAGAUAUCUGGAGGAACACCGGUGGCGAAGGCGGGUUGCUGGGCCGACACUGACGCUGAGGCGCGAAAGCCAGGGGAGCGAACGGG
rnacentral:rRNA from 1 species